rnacentral:sRNA from 1 species
GCUGGGUGCAGUGGUGCAUGCCUGUAAUCCCAGUGGCUCAGGAGGCAGAGGCAGGAGUAUUGUGAGUUGAAAGCCAGCCUCAGCAACUCAGCUAGGCCCUGUCUCUA